rnacentral:misc_RNA from 1 species
UUAAGUUCAGCGGGUAGUCCUACCUGAUUUGAGGUCAAAUUUGUCAAACACCAAAGGGUGUACAAGUUGGAAGCAGCGCAAUCUGUUCAUGCAGUAUACCAAGAGGCAUAGAUAAUUAUCACACCUAAUAGUAGCAGUUCUGCUUCAGAUACCACUAAUGCGUUUCAGAGGAGCCGACUUCAUUAUUGAAGCCUGCAAAA